rnacentral:rRNA from 1 species
CACGCCCUAAACGAUGUCAACUAGUUGUUGGGAGCCUUACCGCUCUUAGUAACGCAGCUAACGCGUGAAGUUGACCGCCUGGGGAGUACGGUCGCAAGAUUAAAACUCAAAGGAAUUGACGGGGGCCCGCACAAGCGGUGGAUGAUGUGGAUUAAUUCGAUGCAACGCGAAAAACCUUACCUACCCUUGACAUGUCAGGAAGUCCGCAGAGACGUGGAUGUGCUCGAAAGAGAACCUGAACACAGGUGC